CCAAUAGCGUAUAUUAAAGUUGUUGCAGUUAAAAAGCUCGUAGUUGAACCUUAGGCCCGUGCGGGUGGUCCGUCCUCAGGGCGAGCACUGCUCCGUCGCGGGUCUCACCUUCUGGCGAGCGUGGAUGCCAUUUAUUUGGUGUCCGCGGGAACCAGGACCUUUACCUUGAAAAAAUUAGAGUGCUCAAAGCGGGCUCCGACGCUUGAAUACAUUAGCAGGGAAUAAUGAAAUAGGACGAUGGUUCUAUUUUGUUGGUUUCUGGGACCGUCGUAAUGAUUAAUAGGGAUAGUUGGGGGCAUUCGUAUUCAAUUGUCAGAGGUGAAAUUCUUGGAUUUAUUGAAGACGAACUACUGCGAAAGCAUUUGCCAAGGAUGUUUUCAUUAAUCAAGAACGAAAGUUGAGGGAUCGAAGACGAUCAGAUACCGUCGUAGUCUCAACCAUAAACUAUGCCGACUGGGAAUCGGGCGAUGUUACUUUUCUGACUCGCUCGGCGCCCCGAG
rnacentral:rRNA from 1 species